rnacentral:lncRNA from 1 species
AGCUGUGGUGCAUUAUAUUUGAACAGCAAAGGCUUCUGGGUGAGGCAGUUGGUGUGCAUUAUAUUCGAGCGCAAAGGCUUCUGGGUAAGGCAGUUAACAAACUUUGCCGUUGCUCCUGCGCAAAGGCCUCUGGUUGAAGCCGUUGGUGGGCAGUGCUGCUGCCUGUUUUUGGACUCCUUUGGACGCCAGGGCUGUAAACUCAAGCGGGUUGUCGUUUCAAAUGAAAAGUUCUUGUGUAUCACACACUUGAUAACACUUCUGCCUAAGAAAUUAAACUCCCAGCUCUCUGUGGACAUCCCCAAUGGCUAAUCUUCAAUUGAACAUAUAAUACCUAAAAGAAGAAAUCAGUCAGCUUUCAAUAUCUCGGACUUUUUUGACAGAUCUCCAUAUUUCACUUCUGUAGCUCUGGCCCUACUUCUCUGCCAAUCAGCAGGAGCCUCUUCCACCAAGGAGAUCUGAAAACAAGAGGUUUUGGUUCUUAUUCAUGAUCAUGUUUGAAACCAGAUCCAGAUAUGAAUUCAACUGUCAAACACUCCAGACUUCUCCUUGACUCCACUCAGAGGACAGGUGGUGCACCUCACCUUUCAUGUGGUCAGAUGUCCUACGACAAAAUGUUCACCAUGGCAUGGCCAAUGGCUCCGAUGAAGCAGUAGAAGAGGUGGUUAGUGUUUUCAAAUGAUUGUGGAUACAAGAGAAAACUAAUUUGAAGGACACCUAAAGUCACAUGAAAUAUGCAAGUACUUUGUUUAGCAUGGAGGUUCUCUGGAAAAUUCACUAGCUUGAACUGUACAUAAGUACAUCUCAAAGUGUGUGUGUGCCUGUGUGUCCCUCCAAAAUAGUUUUGAUAUUGAGAAGUGUGCAUCCAUAUGAGGUUGCAAAGCAACAAGCAAACUCAACAAUAAUAGUUCCAGUGCUGGGGUGAGUUGUGAAGGUGUCUGAAUCUUGGUGGUUAGGAGCAAGCUGUCCAGCAAGUCAGGAUGGUUUUGAGAGCUGCACCAAAAGCAAUGGACUCACCUGUUCCUGUCCACUCUCUUCCCUUAUGAGCACAAGAUGGACACGCUCUUUGCUCUGUUUCUGACUCCAGCUGGUCAGCUGUCAUCAUCUUGGACACAAUCACAAGGAGUUCAGG